AUCACAUCCCCAGCUAGACCAGGCUUAGUUUGCUUAAUAAGAAAGGCAAUAUUUUUGUUGAAUUUCACAUUUUCUACCAAGUAAUGAAUUAACCUUUUUGAAAUCACAAAGGAGGUCACAGCAGGAAAAUGAAGCCAUAUCCUGUACAUGCUGGCUACCACAUAUGAACGGUCAGAGAGAUGGAGGGCAAUGCCUGGAGGAAGGAUGGGAAGAGGGAAUAUAAGAACAUUCAGUACUAAUGGAUUCCAAACUCCGUGUGAUAACCAGCCAGUCCUGGACCAGUUUGUCAUCUCAGUGUGGACUGAUUCUCUUUUGCAGGAAGUUAGUUCUGACUUCACCAGCUGGAUUGGAGGGCACCAGUGCCAUCCCUUGUCCUAUUGCUGUGGGGGACUUCUUCCAGCUUUUAGACAUGCAAGACUAAAUGUGAAUACCAUCUAUACGGCUAUAGAUAAACCACCUGACGGCCAAGAUGUCUGAGAGCUAUGUGAUUCCACCAUACGGAAGCAUCUGAAGAGCUGGCGAAAAAGCUGCCAGCACCCUAGGAGGUAGAGUUCAUGUCUCUGACUGCUGUCCCAUCCCUGCUCCCAGAGAAGUGCCUGGCAUGUAGCAGGGCUGCAGUGUGUCUUUGUGGAUGGAACAAGCCCUGAUAUUUGGGCCAAGCAACCAAAUGCCAGGCUGGUGGUCCCACAUAAGUGUGGUGGAGUGGGUCUGCCUAGCCACCCACCACCUGGUAAGGAGGAAGCGGUGGUGCCCGUGGUCCAUAGAGCCUGAAGCUUCGGUUGGUGGUUGAUCUGCUUUCUGGGAGAAUCAGAAAUUCCCAAACUUUAAUCACGUAGCAUUCCAGAUGAGUCCAGCGACUCUGCACACAAAAAAACUGGAAGCCAUCGAAGGAGACCUAAGUUCAGAUCAGGGCUCACACGUUUUCUGGCUACUGGAUGUGUUUUUCUAUUGCACAGAUUUGCAGGAGCUGCAAAAGAGAAUGUGUGCCCCGGCACUUACUAAGCACAUCAGCGAAAGCUUCGCAGCGCACCAUCAGCCAGGCCUGCUGCUGCGAGAGCCUCUGCCAGACACUGAGAAGGAAGACGUUUGUGCCCUAGGUCAAAGGCAAACCCUAGUUCCUAGGGAAUACCAUUAGGUUUGCUUAAUUAAAAUAUUGUCAUUUAGGUUAUCUAUGCCAAUAAAAUGAUGCAAAAUUC
rnacentral:lncRNA from 1 species